UGAGGAAUAUUGGUCAAUGGGCGCGAGCCUGAACCAGCCAAGUCGCGUGAGGGAAGACGGUCCUAUGGAUUGUAAACCUCUUUUGCCGGGGAGCAAGGCGAGGCACGUGUGCCUAGUCGGAGAGUACCCGGAGAAAAAGCAUCGGCUAACUCCGUGCCAGCAGCCGCGGUAAUACGGAGGAUGCGAGCGUUAUCCGGAUUUAUUGGGUUUAAAGGGUGCGUAGGCGGACUGGUAAGUCAGCGGUAAAAUUGAGAGGCUCAACCUCUUCCCGCCGUUGAAACUGUCGGUCUUGAGUGGGCGAGAAGUAUGCGGAAUGCGUGGUGUAGCGGUGAAAUGCAUAGAUAUCACGCAGAACUCCGAUUGCGAAGGCAGCAUACCGGCGCCCGACUGACGCUGAAGCACGAAAGCGUGGGGAUCAAACAGG
rnacentral:rRNA from 1 species